rnacentral:rRNA from 1 species
AUUGAACGCUGGCGGCAUGCUUUACACAUGCAAGUCGGACGGCAGCACAGAGAAGCUUGCUUCUUGGGUGGCGAGUGGCGAACGGGUGAGUAAUAUAUCGGAACGUACCGAGUAAUGGGGGAUAACUAAUCGAAAGAUUAGCUAAUACCGCAUAUUCUCUGAGGAGGAAAGCAGGGGACCUUCGGGCCUUGCGUUAUUCGAGCGGCCGAUAUCUGAUUAGCUAGUUGGUGGGGUAAAGGCCUACCAAGGCGACGAUCAGUAGCGGGUCUGAGAGGAUGAUCCGCCACACUGGGACUGAGAAACGGCCCAGACUCCUACGGGAGGCAGCAGUUGGGAAUUUUUGACAAUGGGCGCAAGCCUGAUCCAGCCAUGCCGGGUGUUUGAAGAAGGCCUUCGGGUUGUAAAGGACUUUUGUUAGGGAAGAAAAGGCUGUUGCUAAUAUCGACAGCUGAUGACGGUACCCUAAGAAUAAGCACCGGCUAACUACGUG